rnacentral:rRNA from 1 species
GACGAACGCUGGCGGCGUGCUUAACACAUGCAAGUCGAACGGAAAGGCCCUGCUUUUGUGUGUUGCUCGAGUGGCGAACGGGUGAGUAACACGUGAGUAACCUGCCCUUGACUUUGGGAUAACUUCAGGAAACUGGGGCUCAUACCGGAUAUGAGCUCCUGCUGCAUGGUGGGGGUUGGAAAGUUUCGGCGGUUGUGGAUGGACUCGCGGCUUAUGAGCUUGUUUGUGGAGUAGUUACUUACCAAGGGUUAGACGGGUAGCCGGCCUGAGAGGGUGACCGGCGACAAGGCGACUGAGAGACGGAGCAGAAGCGUACGGGAGGCAGCAGGGGAGAAUAUGGCAGAAUGGGCGGGAGCGAGAGGCAGCAACGUUGCGAGCGGGAUAACGGGUUACGGGGUAUAAACAGAUUUCGAAGGUGACGAAGAGUGAGUGACGGUAAUGGGUAAAGAAGCACCGGCUAACUACGUG